rnacentral:lncRNA from 1 species
CCAAUCAAACACAAGACUUCCUUUAAACCCUUCCUCAACUAGCUUUUCCCUGCAUGGUUCCAAAAUGGAUGCAGACAUCCAGCACCACCUUUAAAUAAAGCUCCAUUUGAUUUUCUGGCCUGUGUUGUACCACGGGUGUGUUCUCCUGCUCCAUUCCUCCUCCUCACUCCUCCUCCUCCUCUUCCUCCUCCUCCUCACUGCUCUCCUCCUCCUCACUCACUCACUCCUCCUCCUCCUCCUCCUCCUCACUGCUCCCCUCCUCCUCCUCCUCACUCACUCACUCCUCCUCCUCCUCCUCCUCCUCCUCCUCACUGCUCUCCUCCUCCUCACUGCUCCACUCCUCCUCCUCCUCCUCCUCCUCCUCACUGCUCCCCCUCCUCCUCCUCCUCCUCCUCCUCCUCACUCACUCACUCCUCCUCCUCCCUCCUCCUCCUCCUCCUCCUCUCCUCCUCCUCCUCCUCCUCCUCACUCACUCACUCCUCCUCCUCCUCCUCCUCACUCACUCACUCACUCCUCCUCCUCCUCCUCCUCACUGCUCCCCUCCUCCUCCUCCUCCUCACUCACUGCUCCCCUCCUCCUCUCCUCCUCCUCCUCACUCACUCACUCCUCCUCCUCCUCCUUCUCCUCCUCCUCCUCCUCCUCACUGCUCCACUCCUCCUCCUCCUCCUCCUCCUCCUCACUGCUCCCCCUCCUCCUCCUCCUCCUCCUCCUCACUCACUCACUCCUCCUCCUCCUCUCCUCCUCCUCCUCCUCCUCUCCUCCUCCUCCUCCUCCUCACUCACUCACUCCUCCUCCUCCUCCUCCUCACUCACUGCUCCCCUCCUCCUCUCCUCCUCCUCCACUCACUCACUCCUCCUCCUCCUCCUCCUCCUCCUCCUCACUGCUCUCCUCCUCCUCCUCACUCACUCACUGCUCCCUUCCUCCUCCUCACUGCUCCCCUCCUCCUCCUCCUCCUCUCCUCCUCCUCCUCCUCCUCCUCACUCACUCACUCCUCCUCCUCCUCCUCCUCCUCCUCCUCCUCACUCACUCCUCCUCCUCUCCUCCUCCUCCUCCUCCUCCUCCUCCUCCUCCUCCUCCUCACUCACUCCUCCUCCUCUCCUCCUCCUCCUCCUCCUCACUCACUCCUCCUCCUCUCCUCCUCCUCCUCCUCUCCUCCUCCUCACUCACUCACUCCUCCUCCUCCUCCUCCUCCUCCUCCUCACUCACUCCUCCUCCUCUCCUCCUCCUCCUCCUCCUCCUCCUCCUCCUCACUCACUCACUCCUCCUCCCCUCCUCCUCUUCCUCCUCCUCCUCCUUCUCCUCCUCCUCCUCCUCCUCACUCACUCCUCCUCCUCUCCUCCUCCUCCUCCUCCUCCUCCUCACUCACUCACUGCUCCACUCCUUCUCCUCCUCCUCCUCCUCACUCACUCCUCCUCCUCUCCUCCUCCUCCUCCUCCUCCUCCUCCUCACUCACUCCUCCUCCUCUCCUCCUCUCCUCCUCCUCCUCCUCACUCACUCACUGCUCCCCUCCUCCUCUCCUC